rnacentral:rRNA from 1 species
AUUGAACGCUGGCGGCAGGCCUAACACAUGCAAGUCGAACGAGUGGCGGACGGGUGAGUAAUGUCUGGGAAACUGCCCGAUGGAGGGGGGUAACUACUGGAAACGGUAGCUAAUACCGCAUACCAUCGGAUGUGCCCAGAUGGGAUUAGCUGGUAGGUGGGGUAACGGGUAACCUAGGCGACGAUCCCUAGCUGGUCUGAGAGGAUGACGAGCCACACUGGAACUGAGACACGGGCCAGACUCCUACGGGAGGCAGCAGUGGGGAAUAUAGCACAGUGGGAGCAAGCAGGAUGCAGCCAUGCCGGGGGUAUGAAGAAGGCCUUCGGGUUGUAAAGUACUUUCAGCGAGGAGGCGUUACUCGCAGAAGAAGCACCGGCUAACUCCGUGCCAGCCGACGCGGUAAUUC